GCUCAUGGCAUAUUCGGCAUAUUUUAUUUUCCAAAAUGUUAACAAAUAUAGCAAACAAAAUGGGGCUGUAUUUGAGGCCCACAGCGCCACACUCAUGAAUCGGUUGCAGGCUGAUGAUGUCUGACUGCGGCGUUUUCGUCGGUCAAAUUUGGCAAUCAAGCUGUGAAGGUGAAGAGAGUCUCUCCUCCUCCUCGAGUCACAGCUUUAGUCCACAAAUAUGCUCCAUUACCUGAACGUAUUUUACCGUUUAAAUGGAAAAGAAGAAACCUGUCCAUCUCGCCAGGUUAGCCGGUCUUUGUGAACUAGUGAAAAUGCUGGCGGUAACAACGACAUGAACAAAGUGAACCAAGUUUUCAACAUCCAAAUUCCCGGGUGAAAGAUCAAGUUUUGGAGACACAACCUCCACAUAGGUCAUGUUAGUGAGAGUGAAGCCGAGAUGGAGGACAUCUAUCAUAAGACGGAUGAAUACAACACUACAAACUUCCCGGGAGCUGUCCAUGGAUGACAGUGUGCUGUAGAGGACAUCAUCCUCCUCCACUUUGUGCUGUGUCGUCUGCUCUCCCCCGCCUCCUCUGUACUGUCUACUCUUCCUCCUCCAUCCUGUCUAACCACCCCUCCAGCCCAUCCCUUCAUUGUGUCUCCACCUGGUUUCCCUUUUCUCUGUUUCCACUGACUCUUUCUCUCUGUAAGUCUCAACAACUUACUCUCUUGGUGUCUGUCCCUCUUUUUUUUUUUUUUUCCUUUUUCAUCCAUGUCACUCACAUUUUUGUCGCUGUCAUUCUCAGUAUCUCUGUCACUCCUCCUCUGUCUCCCUCCUUUCUGCUCUCUCCCUGCCCCUGAUCUCUUGGAAGCUGAGUAGACACUGUUCAGUUCCUGUGGGACCUGGGUUAGCCAUAUUGUGUGACACCCUGAUGGCGCCUAAAGGCAACUUAACACACACACAUACAGUGCAAAUACAUGAACACAAUAGGAGAUUUCUC